UUCUACAUCCGACGAUU
rnacentral:sRNA from 1 species